UCGAUUUGGAGUUUGUUGCCUAGAGUGAUGGGCUCCGAAGCUAACGCGAUAAAUCGACCGCCUGGGGAGUACGGCCGCAAGGUUAAAACUCAAAUGAAUUGACGGGGGCCCGCACAAGCGGUGGAGCAUGUGGUUUAAUUCGAUGCAACGCGAAGAACCUUACCUGGUCUUGACAUCCACAGAAUCUUGCAGAGAUGCGAGGGUGCCUUCGGGAACUGUGAGACAGGUGCUGCAUGGCUGUCGUCAGCUCGUGUUGUGAAAUGUUGGGUUAAGUCCCGCAACGAGCGCAACCCUUAUCUUUUGUUGCCAUUGGUUCGGCCGGGAACUCAAAGGAGACUGCCGUUGAUAAAGCGGAGGAAGGUGGGGACGACGUCAAGUCAUCAUGGCCCUUACGACCAGGGCUACACACGUGCUACAAUGGCGUAUACAAAGGGAGGCGACCUCGCGAGAGCAAGCGGACCUCAUAAAGUACGUCUAAGUCCGGAUUGGAGUCUGCAACUCGACUCCAUGAAGUCGGAAUCGCUAGUAAUCGUGAAUCAGAAUGUCACGGUGAAUACGUUCCCGGGCCU
rnacentral:rRNA from 1 species